CUUCAAUUUACUAGCUGUGAUCACUGUAUAGAUACAUAACUUUUCCUUACCUCAGUUUACUCAUCUAUAAAAUUGAGAUUAUGGGUCCUGCCACAUAGGAUGGUUGUAAGGAUGACUUGAUCUAAACUCCUUUCUUCCCUACUUCUUUCCCAACCUCUUUCUCUCCCUUUCUCCUCCCAUCUUCCCUCCUUGCCUACCUUCCACAAAUAUUCUCCAGGGGUUGAGAAUCAGUAAUAGAAGACAAGCCCCUGCCUACACUGAGUUUAUCUUCUGAUGAGGAUAAAUAUGGGAACAAACAUAUACAAAAGAUAUUUCAGAUAGAUAAAAUUUCUAUGAAGGAAUAAAACAGUGAUGAGAUCAGACAAUGACUAAGGAGAAUAGCUUUAUAUAUGACCCUCAGGAAAGCCCUUUCUGAGUAGCUAACAAGACCUGAACAAGAACUUGUCAAGAGCAUUCCAUGCAGAGGGAUCAGCAAUGCAAAAGAACAGAGCCUCUCCGGUGGAAGAAGGACAGAGAAAGCCAUCCCAGAGGGGAACAGAAUCAAUCCCAGCUGCUCAUUAAAAGAGCUUUCAUGAAGAAGAAUGGGAUCUCCUUAAGACAAGAAGGCGUGUUACCUAACUCUGUCAAGGAGGCAGAGGGGAUCCGGGCAGCAAGGAGAGCCUUCUGACAAGGGGGCAUUGGAGCAAACUUACAUAAUGAAGAGAAGUUUGCCAAGUGGAAAAUGAGCAAGUGUGCAUAUGUGAAACAUGUAUGUGUGUGGUAGGUUGGGAGUAUGGGAAGGAAAAGGAAACACUAGCACAUGCAAGGUACAGAGGUAUGAAGUAGCGAGGUAUAAUUUGUAUAAACAGCCUCACCUGUAGCCACCUGAUCUGGGUUUGCCUUCCUUGUUUUCAGGCUGUAGCUGAGAUGUUACUUAUCUCCAAGAAGCCUUCCCUGAUAUGCCAAUUCCAGGAUAAAUUCUCCUACUUUUUAUCUCAAAAAAACAAAACAAAACAAAACCCCUGUACUUCCCUUUACUGAAUGUAGAUUCCUGCUGUUAGCUAGAUUUUUAGGUCUGACGUAGUUUCCUAUUACUAGGGAACUACAUAACAAAAACGUUAACAAAUUACCACAAUCUUAGUGGUUUAAAGCAGCAGAUAUUUAUUAUCUUACAGCUCUGUAGGCCAGACAUCUGAGGUGGGCCUUACAGAGCUAAAAUAAAGGUAUCAGUAGGACAAGCUCCUUUUGACGCUCCUGGGGAUAAUCUAUUUUCUCGCCUCUCCCAGUUUCCAGUGGUUGCCAGUAUUCCUUGGCAUAUGGCUGCAUCAUGGUCGCAUACCCUUUUCCUCUUCUUGCCUCCUCUGUUUCCCACUUGUAAGGACACUUGUGAUUAUAUUUAGGACCCACUAAAUAGGAUAAUCUUCCUAGCACAAGAUCCUUAAUUUAAUCACAUGUACAACUUCAUUUUGCUACGUAAGGAAACAUUCACAGAUUCCAGGGAUCAGGAUCUUGAUAUCUUUGGAGACCAUUAUCAGUCUACCACAAAGCCCUUACUGUCAUGAGCACCAUCAGUUCCUCACUCUGUUCCUAGUGCCCUGCACAGUGUCCAGCUCAUAACAGGUACACAGUGUACGUAUGUCAAAAAGAAGAAAUUAAAUUAGAAGGUGUGUGAAAGAAUGGAUGCCGUAGGUAACCCAAGCCAUGUGGGUAUCACCACUGACAAGGCUGGACAUUGAGCAGGGAAAAUCACAAAGGGUUGUGUAGCCAUAAUAAGGAUUUUAGAUUUUAUGUAAUAGUGAGGAAUUGCUGAAGGGCUUCAAGCAGAAAACAUUUUAAAGAAUCUUAUGUUAACAUAAAUGUCAUUGGUCCCCACCUUGCCUCUGAGGUCUGCAUCUCUCCAGGACAAAUUUAGAAAGUGGUAUUCCUCUUUUUCAAUGGCAAAGUGAACUUGCUCUGAUUUUUACUUGUUGGUAGAAUGGAACACACACUUGAGGCAGCUUUAUGGUUAAGGUACCAGUUUAAAAAGACAAAGUCCUUGCAUAAACCAAAGAUUCACACACUCCAAAGGGAAGAGUCCAUACUCUUUUUCCUGAUGACAGUUGCCUUAGUACCUGGAAAUCCACAAACUCUGGGUUUCUUUGCAAGGUUCCAGGAACGCAGUAUGGAAAAAGGGAGGCUCUCAGACAUACAGAAAGGGCCUCAGGCCACUUAGAAAUGAUCACAAAAAAAGCAUAAGCAUAUGCUUCCCUCAAGUGAAGAUGUGUGCAUGUAUGCCCACAUGGGGGAGAGGGACAGGGGAGGAAAAGGAACAGACAACAAGGAAUUUUAUAAGUGGGCUCCGCAGCUGCCAAGUAAAUGGGAAUAUGUUCAGCACUCAAAGGGAAAAGCAAAGGCAAUGCCAGCAUGGCUCUCAGAACCACUGCCUAGUGCCAGAAACCUUUGAAAGUACAUUUUUUUCUCAUUCACAUUCCCAAACAGUAAAUAGCAUUGUCAAACCCAAUCUUGUCAUAAACACAACUCAUUUGGCAUUUUCUAAUCUUUUACAUUGAUUUAACCAGCAAAGGGUUUUCCCAUCCACAUCUCAUUGGAGGCUCAUACUACCUCCUUAGAGGGAGGCAUGGAAGCUCUCAUAAUCUCUAUUUUAGAGGCUCAGAGGGGACAUGGGCUUCUGCCCACCGUCACAUAGUGAGUCAACUAAGGUGGAUUAUUCCAAUUCCAGUUCUGUUGUGCUAUUCAAAUUAUGCUUUGGAAGGAUCGUAUCACAUUACCUAGGUGGAAUUUGUAUGUGUCUACACACACACACACACACACAAUAUAUAUAUAUGUGUAUACACACGCACACACACACACACACAAUAGACAUGUUUAUAUGCUCCUAAAACAUACAGAUCCAACAGGAAAGCACUUGAGAUGGCAUCAAGAGAGUACAAAGAGAAAAGUAUUAUGUUCAGACGAAAUAAUGGCACGGAAGCCUUUCUUUACUCUCAACUAAAGGAAUGAAACCAUGAUGACAAAUUCAUAGGGGCCAAUUCACUUGGAUAUUCUUUGGAUUAAAAAGCUAGAUGGUAAUUAGGAUAUGUGUCAUACUCCUCUAGAACAAGAACUCCUGUAUCAUCAUAUUUUUAAAAAUCUCCAAUAUCGACACCUUUUUCUGUGGUCAGUAUUGCACAAUGUUGGGCCACUAGAGGCAAAUGAAGAUGUAAUCCCUGCUUUCAAGGGGCUCACAACUGAGGGACAGGAAGCUUUGUAAAUCUAGCCAUUCUCCUACAACAGAACAAGUUUCUUUCAACUUGUUAACCCAUGGGAACACAGCAGUUGGGAAUCUAACUCCACUUCAUUCACAGGAGGCUUUCUAGCAGAGCUGAUGUAGGGGCAGAAGGGAGGAUGCUGUGUGGGAGCUGGCUGGAUUAGCAGAGCUCAUGAAUGUUCAGUGACUCAACCAAAGAAUAAAUAACUGAAUGAAGGAGGGACUCCAGUUUCUCUGCAUGGGCCUGAUCCUGUCUCUGGGCCACCACAGUAAGUCUCCAUUUCUUUUAGACAGUCAAAUAUGCAAGUUUAUUGCCUCAAAGCCUCAAGAAUUUAUAGAUUGUUUAGGAAGUGGAGGUAAUACUCAAUAAAUUAAACAAACAAACAAACAAACCCACAACUUGGGGGAAAUGAAAAGAUCCACAGCCUCUUCCCCUUGUCUAAUGAAAGAAAAUAAACGUUUCUGGUUUCUCUUCACUCAGUGCUAUCCCAUCUUCUCCCUCGGUUAGUGAAUUUUUUGGAUGUCCAAUUAUCAGUCAGGCUGGAAACAAGUUUCUCUUCUUUAAGAUAAACAGCCAAUGACUGAAGCACAAUUUAUAUCUAUUAUGUUUUCAUUGGGCUCCCGUCUCAGUCUGGGUGAGGCUAAAUAAGAAGAACGGUUAGAAAAAUUGGAGGCGAGGACACAAAUGAGUAUUUUACCUUUGGCAUUUAGAUGUGGAUCUGAUCCCGAACCCCAUGUGUCUUCCUCUGUGACAUUUCUAGCACUGAACAGGAAAGUACGAGUCUAAAUACAGAUAUAGUCUAUAAUGAAUCCAUCUGGCCCCACAUCAAGAUUUUAAAUAUUUACAAUUAUGGCCCUGGCCUUAUUAAACUUGCAGGAAAAUAGCAGCAAUAGGGUUUACAUAUUAGGCUGGAGAAGCUUCCUUUUUCCUGCAUGAUGACAGCCACUGCCUGAAAUUUCCCAAAAAAUAUAUAUUCGUUUACCAGACUCUCAAGGUCAGGAGAUGGCAUUGAAACACCGGGAAAAUGGCUUGCUGGGAUUUCUCAAACUGCACACAGGGCACAGCAAAGAGCAUGUAUGAGCUAUCAAGUCCUUAUUUAAAUCCAUUCCCAUCUUGAAAGGCUAUUCCAUGCUGAUUGCCCAAGAGGAGGCAAUUCUAGCAG